rnacentral:rRNA from 2 species
UAUACCGUGAACUGCGAAUGGCUCAUUAAAUCAGUUAUCGUUUAUUUGAUAGUACCUUACUACUUGGAUAACCGUGGUAAUUCUAGAGCUAAUACAUGCUGAAAACCCCAACUUCGGGAGGGGUGUAUUUAUUAGAUAAAAAACCAACGCCCUUCGGGGCUUCUUGGUGAUUCAUGAUAACUUUACGGAUCGCAUGGCCUUGCGCCGGCGACGGUUCAUUCAAAUUUCUGCCCUAUCAACUUUCGAUGGUAAGGUAUUGGCUUACCAUGGUUUCAACGGGUAACGGGGAAUUAGGGUUCGAUUCCGGAGAGGGAGCCUGAGAAACGGCUACCACAUCCAAGGAAGGCAGCAGGCGCGCAAAUUACCCAAUCCCGACACGGGGAGGUAGUGACAAUAAAUACUGAUACAGGGCUCUUUUGGGUCUUGUAAUUGGAAUGAGUACAAUUUAAACCUCUUAACGAGGAACAAUUGGAGGGCAAGUCUGGUGCCAGCAGCCGCGGUAAUUCCAGCUCCAAUAGCGUAUAUUAAAGUUGUUGCAGUUAAAAAGCUCGUAGUUGAACCUUGGGUCUGGCUGGCAGGUCCGCCUCACCGCGUGUACUUGUCCGGCCGGGCCUUCCUUCUGGAGAACCUCAUGCCCUUCACUGGGCGUGUUGGGGACCAGGACUUUUACUUUGAAAAAAUUAGAGUGUUCAAAGCAGGCCUUUGCUCGAAUACGUUAGCAUGGAAUAAUAGAAUAGGACGUGCGGUCCUAUUUUGUUGGUUUCUAGGACCGCCGUAAUGAUUAAUAGGGACAGUCGGGGGCAUCAGUAUUCAAUUGUCAGAGGUGAAAUUCUUGGAUUUAUUGAAGACUAACUACUGCGAAAGCAUUUGCCAAGGAUGUUUUCAUUAAUCAGUGAACGAAAGUUAGGGGAUCGAAGACGAUCAGAUACCGUCGUAGUCUUAACCGUAAACUAUGCCGACUAGGGAUCGGGCGAUGUUCUUUUUCUGACUCGCUCGGCACCUUACGAGAAAUCAAAGUU